rnacentral:rRNA from 1 species
AUUCCUACGGGGGGCAGCAGUGAGGAAUAUUGGUCAAUGGUCGGGAGACUGAACCAGCCAAGCCGCGUGAGGGAUGAAGGUACAGAGUAUCGUAAACCUCUUUUGUCGGGGAACAAAGGCGGGGACGUGUCCCCGGAUGAGUGUACCUUAAGAAAAAGCAUCGGCUAACUCCGUGCCAGCAGCCGCGGUAAUACGGAGGAUGCGCGCGUUAUCCGGGUUUAUUGGGUUUAAAGGGUGCGCAGACGGUCUGUUAAGUCAGCGGUCAAAGCCCGGGGCUCAACCCCGGCCCGCCGUUGCA